rnacentral:rRNA from 1 species
AAUGAACGUUGGCGGCGUGGAUUAGGCAUGCAAGUCGUGCGGAAAGGCCCUUCGGGGUGCUCGAGCGGCGAAAGGGAGAGUAACGCGUGGAUUACCUACCCCCGGGUCCGGGAUAGCUGCGGGAAACUGCAGGUAAUACCGGAUAACGUCUCAGGACCAAAGGUGAGACUCCGCCUGGGGACGGGUCCGCGUCCUAUUAGCUUGUUGGUGGGGUAACGGCCUACCAAGGCAACGAUGGGUACCGGGCGUGAGAGCGUGGCCCGGCUCACUGGGACUGAGACACUGCCCAGACACCUACGGGUGGCUGCAGUCGAGAAUCUUCGGCAAUGGGCGAAAGCCCGACCGAGCGACGCCGCGUGCGGGAUGAAGGC